AGUGAACGCUGGCGGUAGGCCUAACACAUGCAAGUCGAACGGCAGCACAGAGGAGCUUGCUCCUUGGGUGGCGAGUGGCGGACGGGUGAGGAAUACAUCGGAAUCUACUCUGUCGUGGGGGAUAACGUAGGGAAACUUACGCUAAUACCGCAUACGACCUACGGGUGAAAGCAGGGGAUCUUCGGACCUUGCGCGAUUGAAUGAGCCGAUGUCGGAUUAGCUAGUUGGGGGGGUAAAGGCCCACCAAGGCGACGAUCCGUAGCUGGUCUGAGAGGAUGAUCAGCCACACUGGAACUGAGACACGGUCCAGACUCCUACGGGAGGCAGCAGUGGGGAAUAUUGGACAAUGGGCGCAAGCCUGAUCCAGCCAUACCGCGUGGGUGAAGAAGGCCUUCGGGUUGUAAAGCCCUUUUGUUGGGAAAGAAAUCCAUCUGGUUAAUACCCGGGUGGGAUGACGGUACCCAAAGAAUAAGCACCGGCUAACUACGUGCCAGCAGCCGCCGUAA
rnacentral:rRNA from 1 species